rnacentral:rRNA from 1 species
UACGAAGGGUGCAAGCGUUAAUCGGAAUUACUGGGCGUAAAGCGUGCGUAGGCGGUUUCUUAAGUCCGUUGUGAAAGCCCUGGGCUCAACCUGGGAACUGCGAUGGAUAUUGAGGAGCUGGAGUACGGUAGAGGAAGGUGGAAUUCCCGGUGUAGCGGUGAAAUGCGCAGAUAUCAGGAGGAACACCGGUGGCGAAGGCGGGUCUCUGGGCCGAUACUGACGCUGAGGAGCGAAAGCGUGGGGAGCGAACAGG